rnacentral:rRNA from 1 species
GGCCGCAGUAUUUUGACUGUGCAAAGGUAGCAUAAUAAUUAGUUUUUUAAUUGAGGGCUGGAAUGAAUGGUUGGACGAAGUAUGAUCUGUUUUAUAUUAAUAAAUAAAUUGAAUUUAGAUUUUAAGUUAAAAUACUUAGAUUUUAUUAAGGGACGAGAAGACCCUAUAGAGUUUUAUAAAAAAAAUAAUAAAUUGUGUUAAAGGGUGAUUUUUAAUUUUUAUUGAUUUUAUUUGGUUGGGGUGACUAAAAGAUAAAUUUAACUCUUUUUUAAAUUUAAUAAAUUACUUAAUUAUAAGAUCCAUAAAUUGUGAUUGUAAGAUUAAAUUACCUUAGGGAUAACAGCAUAA